UACAGAGGAGCCAAGCGUUGUCCGGAUUGACUGGGCGUAAAGCGCACGCAGGCGGCACCGCGCGUGGGGUGUGAAAUCUGGCCGCUUAACGGCCAGGCGCCAUCCCAUACGGCGGAGCUGGAGUGAUGCAGAGGUCGAUGGAAUUGCCGGUGUAGUGGUGAAAUGCGUAGAGAUCGGGAGGAACACCAGUGGCGAAGGCGGCCGGCUGGGGGUGACCUGACGCUGAGGCGCGAAAGCGUGGGGAGCGAACCGG
rnacentral:rRNA from 1 species